AUGCUUGCGUGCCUGACCCCCUGCUCAUUGGCCUGCCUGCCUGCCAGCCUGCCAGCUUGUCUGCCAGCUUUGCGCUCUCUCUUCAUGGCCGCUGCUCGUUUCACCGCCGCACAGGUUCUAGAGCAGAUUUUUUUAAGCCAAUCUAAUGACGACUCUGAACCAGAAGAGGAAUCUGAGGAAGACGUGUCAAGUGAAGAAGAGAAAGAAAAAGGAGAAGCAGAAGAAGCAGAUACAGCAGGACCAGAAACAGAUGAAGGACAAAAAGACAGCGAGGGAUGUGAUCUAAGGCUGGACACUUCAGAUGAAGAAGUUGAUGAUGAAGAAUAUAAUGAUGAUGAUGAUGAUGAUGAUGAUGAUGUUGAUGAUGAAGAUGAUGAUGAAAUAAUAGAAAAUGUGCAAAGACUGGAGCAAAUAGAACUCGAGGAUGAGGAUGAAGAAGAAGAAAAAGAAGAAGAAGAAGAUAAAACUUUUAUCUCUAAAGACGGGAAAAUAAAAUGGUCCUCCGCUGUGUUUCGCAAUGGCGAGGAAGCGAGGAACGUCCCUCUUAGUCCUCUUUCUGCCCAGGGACCCACAGAGUACGCGGCGGCUCAGGCGGUCGACUUUGAAUCGACCUUCCGCAUGUUUGUGACCCCGGCGGUGGAAAGGAUCGUCCUGGAGAACACCAACCUGGAGGGCUCUCGAAAGCUCGGGAGCGCCUGGAAGGGCAUGGACGAGGUCGACCUGCGAGCCUACUUGGGCCUCCUGAUUUUGUCCGGCGUCUACAGGUCCCGAGGGGAGGCCGUGGCCAGCCUGUGGGACGCCGAGAGCGGCAGGGCCAUUUUUCGCGCCACGAUGUCGCUCAAGGUGUUUCACGCUUACUCGAAGCUGUUGCGUUUCGACGAUCGCCAAACUAGACCCGCCAGGCGAGCGACGGACAAACUGGCAGCCGUGAGAGAGGUCUGGGACGCGUGGGUGGAGCGGCUGCCCAGCCUCUACGACCCGGGUCCUAACGUGACGGUGGACGAGCAACUGGUACCUUUCAGAGGUAAAGCAAAAAAAAAAAAAAACAUGCAGACACAGACACAGACAUACAAACACAGACAGACACACACACGCAGACAUGCAGACACAGGCACAGACACACACACAUACACAUACACACACAGGCACAUAGACACACACACACACACACACACACACACACACACACACACACACACACACACACACACACACACACACACACACACACACACACGCAGACAUGCAGAAAACACGUAG
rnacentral:lncRNA from 1 species